rnacentral:lncRNA from 1 species
AUGUGUUCACUGCUUAGUGUGAAGCGGACACGCAGGGAACCCAUCUUACCUGGGCUUCUGGCUGAACUUGCAUUUGCAUUUCCCACCUGUUGGGGGAGAAGGAACGGUUUGGGGGAGGGGACCCACAGCGCUGCCCUGCCAGCGGGCCACCAGGGUCCCCACUCACUCAUGAGGACGAUGAUGCCGAUGGUGCACAGAACCGCGGCACAGAUGAGCCCACCGAUCCGGAGCCUCUGCCAGUCUAGGAGAAACCCAGAGGAGGCGAUCGAUGCCUGCCUGUGUCCUCCCCAGCCCAACCUCCCUCCAUUCGACAGACACCUGGCUAACCCUGCCUCCUGCAGAAACGGAGCAACAUUCUUGUCACGCUGACAGAUGGUACCGGUUCCCAUCUCAGAGCCUCGUCCACACCGCACCUGUUCUGGUGUGUGCUCACCACUUCCUUUUAGAGCGAAUUACUAAUUAUAAACCCAAUACACUGUAUUUAAAAGAAAUGCAGCUUUCUAUCACUACCCUGAAUGGAAUGCCAGUCUUGCCUAAUGUAAGGGAUAAAAAAUACAAUAAAAGCAAAGGACUAGGAUUACA